rnacentral:ncRNA from 1 species
CGAAUAACAUUGAAUAGGAGUAGUAGUGACUAAAAACCGUGUAAAGAGAGUUGACGGCUGGUGAAAGUCAACCGGGGAGGUCAUGAACUCGCCUAGGAGUUGCAGAUAUGAAUGAUAGUAAUGUCUGCCGUUUGCCGCGUUAAGGUAAAAUGAAGUGAGUGCAUAUGCACUAAUGUGGGUGGUACCGCGGGAAGAUACAUAUAAUCCUCUCGUCCCUGAU